rnacentral:rRNA from 1 species
AUACGGAGGGGGCUAGCGUUGUUCGGAAUUACUGGGCGUAAAGCGCGCGUAGGCGGUUUGUCAAGUUAGGCGUGAAAGCCCUGGGCUCAACCUGGGAACUGCGCUUAAGACUGAUAGACUAGAGACCGGGAGAGGGUGGUGGAAUUCCCAGUGUAGAGGUGAAAUUCGUAGAUAUUGGGAAGAACACCGGUGGCGAAGGCGGCCCACUGGUCCGGUACUGACGCUGAGGUGCGAAAGCGUGGGGAGCAAACAGGAUUAGAAACCCCAGUAGUCC